rnacentral:lncRNA from 1 species
AGAACUGAAAGAGAACAUGCCGGGACCAAGAAGUGAGUUCAUCCCACCUGCAAGAGCCUGCGGCCAGGGACGGCAGCGGAUGUGUCCAAGCACAGACACUGUGCACACCCAGGCUAGGAUCCCCUGAACCAUGUCCCCUCAACACAGGCUUCUGCUGCCCAAAGUGGAAGACGGGCAACUUGAGCAAGUCACAUCACCUCUGAGCCUCAAUUUCCCUAUCUAUAAAAUAGGUAUAUGAAACCAACUCCAAGGGGAUUUAACAUGAGAAUUAGGUAAUAUGAACAUAAACUUUGCACACAGUAGGCAGCCCAUGAAUGAUCGCCAUUAACCAUUAAAACAAUGAGCUCCAGGAGAGGAGUGUGUCUAACUUCCUUUUAAGUUCUGACUUUUUUUUUUUUUUUUUUUUUUUUUGAGACAGAGUCUCGCUCUGUGCCCAGGCUGGAGUGCAGUGGCGCGAUCUCGGCUCACUGCAAGCUCUGCCUCCUGGGUGCACGUCAUUCUCCUGCCUUAGCCUCCCGAGCACCUGGGACUACAGGCGCCGGCCACCACACUUGGCUAAUUUUUUUGUAUUUUUAGUUAAGACGGGGUUUCACCGUGUUAGCCAGGAUGGUCUCGAUCUCCUGACCUCGUGAUCCGCCGGCCUCGGCCUCCCAAAGUGUUGGGAUUACAGGCGUGAGCCACCGCGCCCGGCCAAGUUCUGACUUUUAAAGUAACAACAUGGACGUGUCCUGCCUCUGGGUCGCUGGCUUUCUGCUUCUGACCUGACCCUACACCAGCCUGCUCUUGACAUGCCUUUCCGGAUCGUGCUUGUUUCACAUCGCAUUCCAGGUGUAGGUUUGCUGGAGGUGACGAGCCUCUUAGUUUGGCAGAGUUCUCCGCUCCAUCAUUGGUUCCUUAAAUUCCCCAACGCAGUGGACCACAAGAAGGAUUUCACCGUUCCAAUGCACCACUAAGUUCUGCGGCCUCUUAAGUGUGCUAACCACCGGUUCCGCUGCCUCCAAAGUGAGCUAACCCCUAGUUCCCUCCAAAGCUCCCUCCAAAGCGCCCUAAGCGCUAACCCACGCUACCCAGGACGCAGGUUAACCACCGUGCUCUGCUGCCUCCAAAGCUGGCCCCACUUCCCCCGAAGGGUGUUAAUCACUAGUCCACGCUGCUCCCAAGGAGCGCGAACCACCCGGCCCCGCCCGCCUCCCAUGCGCGCGCGCGUCCCUGGGCCACACCCAAAAGGCGUGCUCCCCACCGCCAGCGUGCGCUGCCCACCUGCACCACGCUGGGCUCCUUGUCGGCCGCGGGCGCGUCGUUGAACCUGCUGGAGGGCUGCGGGGCCGGCGGGUGCGGGCCGUUGCCGUAGAGGCAUGAGAAGCAGGGCUCGCCGUCGCAGCCCAGGUCCAUGAGGAACUUGAGCAGCGACAGGCACUUCAUGGCGAACAUGAUGGUGGCGGGGAAGGCGGUGGGGUGCGUGGCGAUAUAGGCGUCGAUGUUCGCGCCGUGGUCCAGCAGCAGCUGCAUUGUGCGCAGGCAGCCGUGGCGGAUGGCCACGAGCAAGGGGCUGAUGACGUCGCGGUUGGGGUCGGCGCCGUGUUGCAGCAGCAGCUCGGUGGCGUACACGUUGUUGUUGACCACCGCGAAGUACAGCGCGGAGCUGCGCCGGUCUUCGUAGAGGCGCGCGCGCUCGGGGGCCAGCGGCGUGUUCACGUCGAAGCGCGCGCUCAGCAGCGCCUCCAGCACCUCGUCGUGGUUGCGCUCGGCCGCCAGGUGCAGCGGACUGACGCCGCUACGGCGUAUGCGCGUGCGGCUGGUCACCGGCAGCAGCAUCUGCACGAUCCUGCCGGGUCGAGGGGCGGGCGCGGGUGAGGGGAGGGUCGGGGUGUGGACGGGUAGGGCCGGCCCCGCCAGCAGGAGAGCUCGGGCGCCAGGCUCGGCUGGUCGCCCUGACCGCGGGCUGCGACGCGGAUCCCACCGGCAGGGGGCGCCGCGGGUCAACCAUUCUCACCCCACUGGGCAGGGUGGGUCGGCUGCCGUCUCCGCUUUACAGAUAAGGAAACUGAAGCUCAGAGAGCUUCAGCCACCCUCCCAAAGUCACAUAGCCAGUAAGGGGCAGAGCUGGGCUUCAGACCCAGAACCCUUGGCCUCCGAAGUCUGAGUUCUUAAAAACCUCAGCCAGACUGCACUAGGGUUUCAAGAAGCUCCCACUAAUUUAUUUCAGGCUAAGCGCUGUUGCCCAUUGCCAGCUCAGUUAUUUGGAGGAAUUGCCUGGAAGGCCCCCAAACCCAAUGAAUGUCCAACCUCCUCCCUGCAGGAGGCAGUAGAGCCUAGUGGCGAAGUUUGGAGCCAGACCCUGCUCUCUCUGGGGGAGGACGGACAGGGACAGCCAGAUCCCAGAGCCCACCGUGUGCCAGGAGGCUCCUAAAGGCUUUACAAGUGCGAUUGGGUUUAAUCUUUACAAUAACCCCUAAAGCAAGGCUCAUCAUUCCCAUUUUGCAGAUGAGAAGAGUCAAGACUCUGAGAGAUUAAGGGGCUUGCCCAGUCAUACAGUCAGAAUAGGGGAACCAGGGUGUGUGCCCUCCUCUGACUCCAGGGCUGAGCUGUCCCUAUCUUGCUGUCCUGGGACCCCAGUGGAGCCACGAGAUCCUGAGGACAAAAGGGGACAAAUGUGUUUGGCCCCAACUAAUUUGGCCCCAACUACUACUGCCCCAGGCCCCAACCAGCCCAUUGUGACCAUGAGGUCACUUACACUCCUCUCCUGUCAGUCUCAACGCCUCCUCCCCGAAGGCUGACGCUAGCUUCUCCCAGUCUCUCUGCCUCACCUUCUGGGUGUGGAGAACUUGGUCAGCCACUGCGGAAGCCUGAGCUCCCUGCAACCACCAGUUCCUCUCUUCCCUAAAACACGAGCACUGAUCUCAGCACUUUACCUCUAUUCAUCUGUGAAAUCCUCCCAGUAGCCCUCUGAAGUGAGUACUGUAAUAUCCUCAUUUCAGAGAUGAGGAGACAUAAGCCCAGAGAAGGUAUGUGACUCCUCCAAGGAUACACAGCCAGUAAGUGAUGGAGCCAGGAUUUGAACCCAGGCAGUCUGACCCCAAAGCUACACUCUUAACAAUGCCCCUACCUCUUGUGUAGCAGUCAGGGUGACAGUUAAUAUAUCCCGGGGUUUUGCAGUCUUCAUAAUGUGUUAACUUGCCUGCCCAUUUUACCUUCACUUCAGCCCUGGGUGGGAGUGGCCGGAGCAGGCCUGUGGCCUUCUUUUUAACAGAUGUGGCUCAGAGAGCCGAAGUGACUAAUCAGGGGUCAUAAGACAAUUCUGGGGGCUCAACCCCAGGACUCUUUACCCCUUCUCUUGGCUCUCUUCUCCUACAGCCCUGCCACCUGCAAGAACAAGCUCCUGCACCAAUAUGAUUCCAGACCCUAAUCCAUCCAAUCCCUGCUGACAGGUGACCUCACAGCCUCCUGUGGGACUCCAAGGAGGUGGCCAUUACAGGGGGUGGGGCGGUGGGGGAAGGGGAGAGAAGCAGGUGCCACCAGGCCCAUUCCCACGCCUCUGGCCUCCUGGCACACAGGCUUCCUGGAAAUCUGAUGCCAGCGACCUCCUGCUGGGAUCUCAGUGGAAAGUAUUAUGAUUGUUAGUGAUGCUGUGUUUGGCUAAAAUCUGACUCUAAAACCUCAAAAGGAAAUUCACACACCCGGGGGGCUAAUUGCCUCCUAAUUUCUAUUUGUGUAGGCACAGGAGGCCUGACUUUGCUCUGCAGAGGUGCUGGUCAAAGGCAGGCCUGGGCCUCACCCUGGAUGGCGGCCACGGCCAACAAAUGCUCUGCUAACAGCUGUAACGUGCCCAAGAACGGGAAAGAACAGUGAGAGGGGCUGCCCCGGGGCCGCUGGACAGAUGGGGCUGGUAUCUCUGGCAGGUCACAGCUGGUCUCCGGCAGUUCUCCACGAACCAAGGGAAAGUGGCAGAAAUGUGGGAACUUGAGCAUUGUCUCAGUUAUGUGGUGAAUCAUCUUACUGCGGCAGGACUCUGCCAAUCAGAAAGUGAAUGUGUAACGCCGGACAGGCUCUGGAGAUCAGUGCGUCCAGCUUUCCCAUUUUACACAGAGUAAACCUGAAGCCCAGGCUUGGGGUGGGGAACAGAGUGAGGUUGGACAGAAGGUGGGUGGUGCACAAGAGCAAAAUACAGGUCUCUGGAUGUCCAGGGCCAAGCCUUCUACGAUGCCCCUCUCCUCCCAACUAUGGGAGCGGCCACGUUGGUAGCCCCACUGCACAUCAUCACUCCUCUUCCCAGCCCAUUUUGUGGGGCAGAGGACAGGAGGACAAGGGGGUGACCCCACCAAACAGUCUGACUCUUCCCACUUCUCCCACAGGCACGUUUUGGAUUCUCAGAGUAUAAUUGCUCAAGCGGCACCUCAUGAAGAGGAACAAAGGUGACUAUUGUCUGAUAGAGCCGUAGGUGUCUGGAAGAAUGGCCCCCUACCCCUUCCUUGUCCCCUCCCCAAUGCAGAGGCCACAACUACCAGCUUAGCCUUUCCUGUCUGGGCCCUGAGACCGGAGCAGAUCCAGCUCAGGGUCAUUCCAGGAAGACCCAGUGCAGCAGUGUGGCAGGUGCUGAGCUGUCUCUGACCUUGGACCUCAUUCCGAAUCACUGGGCUCUUGUCUUGUUCCUAGGACCCACCAGUAUCUGAAGCCUGACAUCCUUGCCCCAGGUCUGGGCUCCCACUCCAGGAUUCUAGUUUCCUCAGAGCAGCAGCCUUGCCAUACCACCUGGCCCUGGCUCUGAUGUCCUUCCUGAAUCUAGCCCAACAGCAGGGGAAUGGGCAGAGAGCUUUGAGCCAACGCAAGCUGUCCUUAGCUAGAGAGGGGCCCAGCAUGGGCAGUGGGGAAACUGGGAGGCUCAGAGUCAGGGGUACAUGGGUUACACACCAGCUCUACCCUUCAGCACUGGGCCAGCGCAAGCAUGUCACUUAACCUCUCUGAACCGCACCUAAAGCAGAGGGGUAAUUAAUUGUAAUAAUAGUGAUGAUGAUGAUGAUGAUGAUGAUGGUGAUAGCUAUAGCUACCCUUUAUUGAGCUCCAGUGGGUUGCUGUGAGCACUUUACCCCUUACCUUCUUAAGUCAUAAUUGUGCUAAUAUUGCUGAGCGCUUACUGUGUGCCAGGUACCAUUUAAAGUGGUCCUCACAUUUGUUUACUUCAUUUAAUCCUAGCAUGACCCUCAGAGCUAAGAACUUAAUCUCAUUUACUCAUUUACUCAUAACAAUCCGGCAAGGUAGGACUGCUUACAACCCCAGGUCCAGGUUACAAAGCACAAUGUAAUGAUCUUUCACCAAGGCUGCUUCUGAGUAUAAAUGAGAUCUUUCCCAUGAAUCUGAUUGGCCCGUAGUCGGCAGUGAAUGAACAAUGCUCUUGGUAUCUUGACCACCACCACAACUGCAGCCUACUGCCCCUGCUACCCUAAACACAGAGGCAUUCUGGAUCACCAGGUCACUGUGCUUUGACCCUUGUCAGUGUUCAAUGUAAAUUUGGAUGGAGGGCCGGGCGCGGUGGCUCACGCCUGUAAUCGGAGCACUUUGGGAGGCUGAGGCGGGAGGAUCACUUGAGCCCAGGAGUUCAAGACCAGCUUGGGCAACAUAGGGAGA